rnacentral:lncRNA from 1 species
GAACUACAGGCGCCCGCCAUGAUGCCCGGCUCAUUUUCUGUGUUUUCAGUAGAGACGGGGUUUCACUGUGUUAGCCAGGAAAGUCUUGAUCUCCUGACCUCGUGAUCCUGACCUCGGCCUCCCAAAGUGCUGGGAUUACAGGCGCGAGCCACCGCGCCCGACAGCAGUUAUGAAGUUCUAAAAGCAAGUCUUAAUCAGGAAGUGUCCUUGAUCACCAACGGCUCGCCCAGGCAUGCUGGCUCUCUUCCACUUCCACCUUCCACCAUGGGAUGACGCAGUAAGAAGGCCAUCAGUAGAUGCCAGUCCCUCAACCUUGAACUUUCCAGACGCAGAACUAGUGCACUCCUUGGAAGGAAGUCACUAUAGAUAUCCCACGCAUGUGGAGAGGGGAGCUAUGAUCCACCUCAUGAAGGGCAAGUUUAAACAUUUCAUUCCAUCAUCGUGUUCCUGGUUUCUAUGAGAACUCCACUGUCAUUCUUAUUCUUGUUCCUCUAAAUGUGAGGUAUUUUUUUCUCCUUGGGCUUCUUUCAAAAUUUUUCUCAUUGACUCUGGUUCGCUUAUGACAUGCCUAGGUGUAGUCCAUUUUGAGUAUUAUGUAAUGAGACACCAGAUCUUAUUUCAACCUUCUGUUUUGGCUGGAUUUCCUCUGAAACUGCUCUGGCAGCAAAGGAGGAAGGGUUACUCCCAGCUAGGGUUAUAAUUCCAGGUCCCUCACCUGGCCGCUGGGGAAGAGGCUCCGCAUUACUGCGUGACAGAGAUGCAAGUUCUGAAUCACCUCUAGGCCUCCACUGAGACGCUCCAUCUGGGAUGACUGGAAUUUUGGUUUCUUCUCACCACCUCCACUGAGACGCUCCAUCUGGGAUGACUGGAAUUUUGGUUUCUUCUCACCACCUCCACUGAGACGCUGCAUCUGGGAUGACUAGGAAUUUUGGUUUCUGCUCACCACCUCCACUGAGACGCUCCAUCUGGGAUGACUAGGAAUUUUGGUUUCUGCUCACCACCUCCACUGAGACGCUGCAUCUGGGAUGACUAGGAAUUUUGGUUUCUGCUCACCACCUCCACUGAGACGCUCCAUCUGGGAUGACUAGGAAUUUUGGUUUCUGCUCACCACCUCCACUGAGACGCUCCAUCUGGGAUGACUAGGAAUUUUGGUUUCUGCUCCCCACCUCUACUGAGAUGCUCCAUCUAGGAUGACUAGGAAUUUCUGGUUUCUGCUCACCACCUCCGCUGAGACGCUCCAUCUGGGAUGACUAGGAAUUUUGGUUUCUGCUCACCACCUCCACUGAGACGCUCCAUCUGGGAUGACUAGGAAUUUUGGUUUCUGCUCACCACCUCCACUGAGACGCUCCAUCUGGGAUGACUAGGAAUUUUGGUUUCUGCUCACCACCUCUACUGAGAUGCUCCAUCUAGGAUGACUAGGAAUUUCUGGUUUCUGCUCACCACCUCCGCUGAGACGCUCCAUCUGGGAUGACUAGGAAUUUUGGUUUCUGCUCACCACCUCCACUGAGACGCUCCAUCUGGGAUGACUAGGAAUUUUGGUUUCUGCUCACCACCUCCACUGAGACGCUCCAUCUGGGAUGACUAGGAAUUUUGGUUUCUGCUCACCACCUGGCCUCCUUUGACACACCCAGCGGGGAGGCAGGGUGGGCUCCUCAUUACUGCUAAGUGGGGGAAGAAGUUUAGGCUUUCCCCCGUGGCAAUGGAGACCUGUCUCCUUACGUGGCCCUCUCUGACACCAACCCAUGGGAGUGAGACAUGCCCUGUAAGGGGCUUUGGUGGCCGUGGAGGCAAGGAACAGUUUCUCUCACUGUGUUUGGCUGGAGUAGCGUGGGGUUGCCGAAAGUCUUCUGUCUGCGGAGGCUGUACCUUUGGCCCUUUGGCAAGAGAGCAGUCUUUGGUUAGGAUUUCCAGGUUGCUGGCUUCUUUAUCUCCAUUUCUGGGAUAUAUGUGCCAAAUAAAACAAAAUGAAACAAAAACCAGGGAACACACAGUCAUAUAGUUCUUUUAAAGCACUACAUGGCCAAAGUUUUCAGCCAGUGUGCUUUCUUCUUUUCGUAUUUCAGAGUCUCCUUAUGUUUAUUUUGUACACAAUAUCCUAGGUUUUACUAAAUGGGAAGAAUAAGAAGAAGUAUGUCUACUAUCUUUCUAUUCUAACAAUAUUUUGUUAUUAUAUAAUAAAGUCCAUUUUAAUAUUAUUGAGAGGUAUUUAUUUAGAAAAUGCUUUUUAAUGAUUUUAGGUAAUCUUCACCUAUUUCUAUGUAUUUUUAUUCUUCUGCAUGCUAACAUUUCUCUUUUAUGUGUGUUUUAUCUAUUUCCAUGUGCCAGGUUAUUUCCUAAACUGGCAUUUUGUUAUUAGAGCUAACAUAGUCAAUUUAGAGCCAUGAGAGAAAAGAUCUUUCUUUCUCUCUCAGUAGAUCUUUUUACGGUCUGAUAGGAAGAUCGGGAGUUCAGAGGGCCUUCAUUCAAUUGUAAAUCCUGCUGUUUAUUCUCUAAUCUUAUUCUAUGAUUUUUAAAAUGGCAGAGUUGAAUGUUUAUUCUGAUAAUGCCUGUUUUAUGAGCCACACUGUAGCUUGGAAGCAUCUGCAUCCCCUAUACUUUGUGACAUGUUACAUGGGUAUUGCACGAGCAAUCCAAGUAUUAAGAGCAACCCAACCAAGAUAUUCCUAUUGAUGGCAAGCCACUGAAUUUGAAUGCAAACAAUAAAAACACAGGUGAUGAGCUGUCAAAAGUUAUGCAUUUUUGAUCGAUUACUGCAUUAAAACACUAUUGUAUAAGACAUAGCUCCAGACAGACAAUCGCCUUGUGAGAUUAAUCUAGAUUCACAGGUGAGUACUACUUUUUAAAAGUCAGCAUUCUUUACAUGCCAGAGUUGUCAGUCUUACAGUUUAUUCAAGGAUUAUUGGCCACUCCACAGUCUGUUGCAUGUAUCCUGAAAAGCAUAUUGUCAUCCACUUAUGACUCCCUCUCAUGUUAAAUGGAGUAGCUGCACCUUUGAAAAUGGUGCAUUGAUUACCUAAUUUUCCUCUUCCCCCUAAAGCAUCCAACAUUUGUGUUUCAUUUGUAGUGCUACUUUCCUUGCUCAGAAGUAUGGACUUCAUUUCAUCCAUUUCCUCAAGCCAAUUGAUGGGCUGAGUGAUUGGCAGUGGAUCUGAUUGCCAGGUUUCAUUCACCCAUGAGCUGUACACACCUGUUCCUCUGCCGGUUCAAUAAUAUUCUCAACACAUACAACGCGACUCUGAUGACAAAAGCUCCAUAGCUUGAUUGAAUUCCUUAGUGCCUCUUUUCUAUGCCUUUUUCUGAGAUUCCCACUCUUAUUAACCCUUUCAAUUGUAUACUUCCCUACAUUUCUUCUUUAAUGAUUAUUUCUUUGCACAUGUUUAGAAAAUUUGCAUUACAAGACUAAUAUUUUACUAUUUCCUUACAUUUUGAAUUCUCAACAAAAAUCACCCAACUACCCCCUGACGUAAUUCUUAGCAGACCAAAAAUCCAAAUAAUUUUCAUUCUAAUGUCAUAUCUCAUACACUUUGUAAGGAAUCUAUUUCUUUCAACCUCCCAUUCUCAACACUUCACAUUGUACAGUGCUCUCUGUUUAACGAUUCAAAGCACUGAAAAUGUUUUAAUGAUUUGUUUUCUUAUUUUCCACAUUAUCUUUAAUUCCAUAAAUGCCAAACUUGCCUGGGCCUUUUACAAACAAGCUAGGAAUAUUAAAGCCAUAGAUACACAAUUUUACUUUAGGUUUAGUUACAUUGUGAUUUAAAAGUUCAAAAUCUCAGUGGUUAAAACAGUAAGGCCUAUUUCUUGCUCAAGCUGCAAAUUCAUAGUAGGUUGGCUGAAGUUCUCCUCCAUCUUUUUCAUUCUGGGGCCAUCAUUAUCUACUUGUUUGUUCACUGAUAAGCUUUUACUUUUCUCUCUUCUCUAUAGAAAAAAAAAAUACUCUCUCACUUUUUCUUCCCAAACCAUGUAGCCAUUUUUAACUAUUCCAUCAUCAAUUAGUUUCUAGCUAAUAUUCUCUGACCAAAUCUAGUGACUUCCUUCCUCCUAUCGUUUUAGCUACUUUUUAUGUACAAUCCUCCCUGAUAAUGUUCACAUUAUAUUCUCUAGCUGUAAUGUGUUUAAAAGCGUGCGUGUGUGUUUAUGUGUGCGCAUAUAUGUGCAUAUUCUCUAGAUGCAAACAGAGGAGGAAUUAAUACAGAAACUUAGUUUGCUUUCUCUCAGCAUCGAAUAUGGACUUUUGAAUGAAUUAUCUACAUGUGUCCUUUUGGAAUCAUUGAUAGGAAAGCAUUUGAUCUCUUAGAGAAAAUGAAUAAGAUGCAGUAAUAUAUAGUUACCAUUGUCAAUGAGGCUCAGAAAAGUAAAAUAAAAUAAAUACAGAUGCUUUGAAAUAAUAUAGGUACUACUGU